CCUGCCAUGCUGUCCUGCCAUUCUCCCCUCUUCCUGAUGUUUGAUUUGAUAAUUUAUAAUUAAAAUAAACAGACAAUGCAGGACAUCAUACAUGAGUGUUUGCUGCUCCGAAUCUGAAAGU
rnacentral:snoRNA from 1 species